UUCCAGGCCUCCUUCACAUCUGGGAAAUCCAAGGAAUUCAUUUACCUGCUCUUCUACACCUUUUAUCAUAGAAUCAGGUCUGAAGAUCUCAUGGGGACCUGCAGACCUGACCCUCAUCUCACUCUGGCCAGCGACAGCAAAACUAAAACCCAGGCCAGGGUUGGAUUUGGGGAUGUCUGGGCUGCAGAAUCCUGAUUUUUUGGGCAAAUAAAGAGCCUCACCAGAGGACUGUUCCCUCUGGAGUGUGAUGGAGUUGUUCUGCCCCUCUGGGGAGUCUGUGCUGUAUUAAAACUCUCGUAAUAACUUCA